rnacentral:rRNA from 1 species
UACGGGGGGGGCAAGCGUUGUUCGGAAUUACUGGGCGUAAAGGGCUCGUAGGCGGCCAACUAAGUCGGAUGUGAAAUCCCCAGGCUUAACCUGGGAACUGCAUCCGAUACUGGAUGGCUUGAAUCCGGGAGAGGGAUGCAGAAUUCCAGGUGUAGCGGUGAAAUGCGUAGAUAUCAGGAAGAACACCAAUGGCGAAGGCAGCUCUCUGGGACGGUACUGACGCUGAGACGCGAAAGCGUGGGGAGCGAACAGG